GCCGAAAUAGCUCAGUUGUGGAGAGCGUUAGACUGAAGAUCUAAAGUCCCUGGUUCGAUACCGGGUUUCGGCA
rnacentral:tRNA from 1 species